rnacentral:tmRNA from 1 species
GGGGCUGACCUGGCUUCGACGUGGGUGCGGAGUUGGAACAGGGCACGCCGAGCACCAGUACGCUCGUAAAUCCACUGGAAACAAAGUAACUGCGAACGACUCUACGUACGCUCUCGCCGCUUAACACCGGUGAGCUUCGCAACAGUUGGCCGAUGGGCUGGGCCUCCGGGGCAACCCGAAGGCUGCGAAGUCAUACACAUGGGCUCGUCCUGCGGUGGGUCACUCGCCGCAGGGUUAAAUCAAGUGAAUCGUGGAAGGGGUAGCGUGCUGCUGCGCGACCCCCGACACUAAAAACAAAUCAGACAGCUAAGCGUGUAGAUCUGCCUGGCGAUGGCUUGCGGACGGGGGUUCGAUUCCCCCCAGCUCCACCA